GAGACUUUCAUUUUCUUUCUUUCUGAGCUGCAGUGGGACGCAGUGAGAGCAUGCCUUUGGCGGAGAGAGAGCGAGCAACCAGAGAGAGAUAGGGAUUUGGUGAGAGGAAGGCAUGCGGUUUGCAGGCAGACAGAAUCACAGGGGGUGUACGGUUCGAGGGAGAGGGAGUGGGAGAGGGAGGAGUAAGGAUCGCUCGCUGAGGGUUUCGCAGUUGGGAGGCCAUGCUGAUGGAGAUAGAGAUAGAGAGAGAUAGGAGAGGGAGAGGGAGACAGGGAGACAGAGACAGAGCGACAGAAAGAGAAGGAAAAGGAAGAGUGGGGAUCUCAGCGCCAUUGCUGCAGAUCCUUGAUCUUCUUCGAUCCCAUCUCCGUGUUCUUCUCAGCCUCUCACAGUCGCAGCAUCACUCGCCCACUCACUCACUCACUCACAGAAAUUCUGAGAUGGUAAGGGUUACGGAAAAAUUGGAAGGUAUAUAGAAAUUCCAAUAUGAGUUCUCCGGCCGAUUUGAGGACAUACGGGCGCACCAACACCUCCAUUUUCCUGCGAAACAUCACCACAGAACCACUACCACUCACUCCGUUCUGCUCAGGACACACUGGCGAAGGCCUUUCACUGUGCAGUGGGUACUGCCACUGUUCAUCGGCUUCUCUUACGAGACUCACUGCUCCCAACCUCGAGAGAGAAGGUGGCAGCAGCAGCAGUGGGAAAGAAGGUCUUUUCCUGUCUCUGCCCUUCGAAUCUCUAGGGUUUGACUUUGGCUCCGUUAGCUGUUGAGGUAAUUAUUAAUCCAUACUUCGAUUGUAAUUUUUUUUUUCCGUAUUCAGUAAGUUUGAUCAAAUGGGUUUCUUUGGACUUGCAUAAGUUGUGUAUAAUAUUGCUUUAAUCAUUUAUUGGGUUCCUUUUGUAUUAUUGAGUCUUGGGUUUUGCUGGAAAUUGUAUAAAUUUUGACCAAAUUGCAUAAAUUAUUGAGCUUUUGUUUGGUAUUUUUAUGGCUACUGUGCUAAUUAGUUCAUACCCAAAAGGGAGCAGAUAAUUAACUGUUCUAAUCACUAAUUCCCCACUCUGAGAACUUGAGACCUUGGACUGAUAUGCAUUUCUGAGAUUUAUUAUUUAUUUUUGUAUAGAAUAUUUAAAGGUGUUAAACUUUUAGUGUAAUUAUAAAGUAUGGCUCUUUGAUUCCAUAUAAAUUGCUGUUUUCAAGAGGGGAGCAUUUACAUGUGGGGGCAACAAGGAGGGGUGUCUGUGAGAAGGUUGGGCUAUCUAUUUUAUUUGUAGUUCUUCAUUUCACUAAAUUAAAUAUGAAUUAUUAAUUUUUCAAUUUUUAAAAUGAAAGAUAAAAGAAAAUCAUAUGUACUUAAUUAUAUAUAUAUAUAUGUGUGUGUGUGUGUGUGUGUAGAUAGUUGCAGAGAAGAAAUGGAGGGAAGUGGGAUGUGUUUUCAUGUUCUCCCCAACACAACAAGUGCUUCAUUUGUGCUGAGGAAACACUACUCAACCCUUCUCUGCCAUUAUGAACAGGCUGAUGCUGAUGGCAACGGAACCAUAGACUAUGAUGAGUUCAUCGCAGCAACAAUGCAUUUGAACUGGAUGGAUAGAGAACAUCUCUACACUACCUUAAAACACUUCGAUAAAGACAGCAGUGGGUAUAUCACGAUGGAAGAACUAGAGCAAGUCCUCCACAAAUAUGGCAUGCAAGGUGAAUUUUAAUCUUUCCAGUUACAACCAUAUCUCACUCCCUUUGGACAAGGAGUUGGACCAUGGAUGUGCUCUCCUUCGUCCAUCCUGUGUCUGCAUGUCCUCAUUCACAAGAUUUCGCACAAAUUGCUUAAACAUUCCAUCUCCCAAACAUCUCAGAUCCCUCACUCAAUUCAAAAGUAUGCUUUUUUGUUGUUUCUUGGUGAAAGAUUGAUCAGCGAUGAUUGCUAUUGUUUAUUCGUGGUUGAUUGAACAUUUUUGUUAUAUGAAACCAUAAAGAAUAGUUGCCUCGAUACUAAGUUUUUUUAUUUCUUGAUGCAUUUAUGUUGAUCAGGCACGAAGGGACCAGUCGAUACGAAGCGUAUCUAUGGGACAAUGGUUGCAACAAAGAAGGGCAGAGCAGGAAGGGAAGGCAAAGUUUGGCAAGAAAACACAAUGAUGUUUUUAAUUACAAGAAAUGUGCAUUUUUUUUCCAGUCAAAUUCUGCUUUUGUUCUGACUAUAUUCCAUACUAUAUGCUGAUUUUAUUUUUUAAUUUUUGGUUUUUCUUUUAUUAGUUGGGGAAUUACAAUCAAAUGAUGAAUCUUUGGAUUACUUGUGUAAGCAUUUUUUCACAUAUAAUUUGGUUGACCAUUUUAAAUGUCAAA